rnacentral:rRNA from 1 species
UGGGGAAUAUUGGACAAUGGGGGCAACCCUGAUCCAGCCACGCCGCGUGUGUGAAGAAGGCCUUCUGGUUGUAAAGCUCUUUAAGCGAGGAGGAGGGUACUGGUAUUAAAACUACCAGGUACUGGACGUCAAACGCAGAAUAAGCAGCGGCUAACUCUGUGCCAGCAGCCGCGGUAAUACAGAGGGUGCGAGCGUUAAUCGGAUUUAGUGGGCGUAAAGCGUGCGUAGGCGGCUAGUUGAGUCGGCUGUGAAAUCCCCGGGCUUAACUUUGGGAUUGCAGUCGAUACGGGUUAGCUGGAGUGUGGGAGAGGAUGGUAGAAUUCCAGGUGUAGCGGUGAAAUGCGUAGAGAUCAGGAGGAAUACCGAUGGCGAAGGCAGCCAUCUGGCCUAACACUGACGCUGAGGUACGAAAGCGUGGGGAGCAAACAGG